CUACGGGGGGCUGCAGGCGAGAAAACUUUGCAAUGUGCGAAAGCACGACAAGGUUAAUCCGAGUGGUUUCUGCUAAAGGAACCUUUUGACAGUCCUAGAAACACUGUUGAAUAAGGGGUGGGCAAGUUCUGGUGUCAGCCGCCGCGGUAAAACCAGCACCUCAAGUGGUCAGGAUGAUUAUUGGGCCUAAAGCAUCCGUAGCCGGCUCUGUAAGUUUUCGGUUAAAUCUGUACGCUCAACGUACAGGCUGCCGGGAAUACUGCAGAGCUAGGGAGUGGGAGAGGUAGACGGUACUCGGUAGGAAGGGGUAAAAUCCUUUGAUCUAUUGAUGACCACCUGUGGCGAAGGCGGUCUACCAGAACACGUCCGACGGUGAGGGAUGAAAGCUGGGGGAGCAAACCGGAUUAGAUACCCCCGUAGUC
rnacentral:rRNA from 1 species